CCUACGGGAGGCAGCAGUGAGGAAUAUUGGUCAAUGGGCGCGAGCCUGAACCAGCCAAGCCGCGUGAGGGAAGACUGCCCUACGGGUUGUAAACCUCUUUUAUAAGGGAAUAAAGUGAGGCACGUGUGCCUGUUUGUAUGUACCUGAUGAAUAAGCAUCGGCUAACUCCGUGCCAGCAGCCGCGGUAAUACGGAGGAUGCGAUCGUUAUCCGGAUUUAUUGGGUUUAAAGGGAGCGUAGAUGGGCUGUUAAGUCAGUUGUGAAAGGUUGCGGCUCAACCGUCGAAUUGCCAUUGAUACUGGCAGUCUUGAGUGCAGUUGAGGUAGGCGGAAUGCGUGGUGUAGCGGUGAAAUGCUUAGAGAUCACGCAGAACUCCGAUUGCGAAGGCAGCUUACUAAGCUGCCACUGACGUUGAGGCUCGAAAGUGUGGGUAUCAAACAGGAUUAGAUACCCCAGUAGUC
rnacentral:rRNA from 1 species